CGUCGCCAUGUCUUCCAGCGAGGUCGCCUGCACCCUUGCCGCCCUCAUCCUCCACGAUGACGGGAUCCCCAUCACUGUAAGUUAUUCGUCUUGGUUUCUUCUCCGUUGUACGUUCCCUGGUUGGUUUUCGUUGUCUGAGUGUUUGGUUGCUUGGCCGUAUGCAGUCUGAGAAGAUCGCGACGGUGGUGAAGGCUGCCGGGAUCAAGGUUGAGGCCUACUGGCCAGCGCUCUUCGCCAAGCUCCUGGAGAAGAGGAGCGUCGAUGACCUCAUCCUCUCCGUCGGAUCUGGUAAACCUCUCCCGCUCUCACUGUUCUAUUCUUCUGCAGUUUAUACAAGGCUUUGAUUCAUUGCGCUGUUGUGAACUUCGUCGUAAAUGUUUCAUAAUGUUGCCACUGCCUGUAAUUUAUGUAACGUACUUUGAUCCGCUGCUUGAUUAGUCUGUGCAACUGGAGAAUUCAUCACUUAACUUUAUGUUAGUAAGCUUGAAUUGGAGGAUGAUCUUCUUAGUCAGACUUGUAGAUAUGCCUAUUUAGCGGUUAUGUAUUCUGAAUUUAAUUUCACGUGUAAAUUAAUAGCCAUUCCUGUUUGACCAAUCUGCGCAUUGUAAUAGUAGAGAAUGCUAUUCGGGAUGAUUGUAAUUUAUCAUGAGCAGAAGCAACAGUCGCUCUAUGCUUUGUUUUAUCUUCACUGCUGCCUUUGUCAAUGUAGUAAUGUUUCUAUUCGUUUCCAGGUGG
rnacentral:lncRNA from 1 species